ACAACAAACCACCUGGGCGUUAUCUCUGAACCUGCUCAAUCGAUAACCCAACCCAACCCAAUUUCACCCCCUUAGCCAACCUCCCCGGGCGGGUCAUUUCUCCGUUCGUCUAGCCUUGGCUCUGUUGGACGGGCGUCGGCGGAAAACAAAAAGAAACUUGGACCAACAGGCUCAUGUUCUUAAAAAAGCGGGUCAAUUAGUGCGGAUUGAGAGGAAGUUGCGGGUGUGUAACGGGUUAACGGCGGAAGGCCUCGCCUCACCUUUCGCGCGCGUCACCCGUUUCUGUGAAGUGGUCCCACCAUCCCAGCACCCGAACCGACGUGUGUGUGUGUGUGUGUGGGGGGGGGGGGUUGUCACCGCCCCUCGCCGCCUCCUACCCUCGGUCGGUCUCACAUCAUCCCGUCGGUGUCCGCCUCGCCGCUCCAUCAUCACACGCAUCCAGAAGACAACGGGAACUGGAGGAGCAAGAGUGAUUUACCGGAGAAACGGGGAACCAUGAAGGACCGCAUGCAAGAACUUAGACAUGGAAAGGAGACGGCAGAGGAGGAGGACGAAGUCGCUGUCGGGAUGGAAAAAGGCUUCAUGGACGAAUUCUUUGAACAGGUGGAAGAAAUCAGAGGUUUUAUCGAGUCUCUGGCAGAGAAAGUUGAAGAGGUGAAGAGGAAGCACAGCGCCAUCCUCGCCUCACCUAACCCCGAUGAGAAAACUAAGGCUGAGCUGGAGGAUCUCAUGGCAGACAUCAAGAAGUUGGCCAACAAAGUGCGCUCCAAAUUAAAGAGUAUCCAGCAAACCAUCGAGCAAGAGGAAGGGCAGAACAGGUCAUCAGCCGACCUGAGGAUACGUAAAACACAGCACUCCACACUGUCCCGUAAGUUUGUCGAGGUGAUGUCGGAAUACAACACCACCCAGUCGGACUACAGGGAGCGCUGCAAGGGACGCAUUCAGAGACAGCUGGAGAUCACUGGGAGAAACACAACAAAUGAGGAGCUCGAGAGCAUGUUGGAGAGUGACAACCCAGCUAUCUUUACCUCAGGGAUCAUUAUGGACAACAUCACCCAGCAAGCUAUGAAUGAGAUCGAGACACGGCACAAUGAGAUUAUCAAGCUGGAAAACAGUAUCAGAGAGCUUCACGACAUGUUCAUGGACAUGGCAAUGCUGGUGGAGAGCCAGGUGAAAACAUGGGUCCUCUCUUUCUCAGUACCGACAGCUGUGGGGUUUGGGGCUAAGCCAAAAUAUGUGAAAACAAACCCUUCAAAUGCUAAACACAUCCAUAAAUUGGCAAUCCACCUGCCAACAUGGACGCUAUAAAGGAGCGUUGAAAUUCCAUUCCCUGGAUUCAGAAUUGUGGUUUGAAAGGGUGCUCUGGCUAAUGCAGAGGCUCAGUAACACACUGUGAUCACAAUAGUAAAAUCAUUAACCAGCUAAGCAUGCUAGCCUGCUGCAGCUCCAUAUCAUGAAAAUAACUCCACUUCAGACAGACAGAAACUGGCAGUCUUUUAAUUUACAUACAAAAUGUGGAGUGUAUUAGUAUGUGCCAAUACAGUUGGAAGGAGGCUGUUUUCAGCUCCAUCUGUUUUUUUUGUUUGCAAGCAUCUCAGUAAAUUUAGACGGAGUUUGGGGGACAGAUAAUUUUUGGCUUAAUGAUCAGUUGAUUGGAAUUGCCAUUAGACCAUUUUUUUUAGAUAGAACUAUCAUGCUGCAUUCAUGAGCUCGAAAGAACAUCUGGGACUUCCGAGUUGGCAUCUAAACAGCGUUGCUGUUUUGUCAGAGCAUUAAAUUAUAUACAAACCUUAAAUAUUAAAGAGGCUUUGGCUUUGUAAAUUGAGAAUUCUUCAGAAUUAGUAUAAGUUUUUCAUGUCGUUACACUAAAAUUUGUAUCGUGUUACGGAAAUGUUGUGUGGUGCACACUGACAACUUACAUCAUCUAUUGAGCAGUGAACAUACUUGUACCGUUAAUAUGUAGUUUCAAAGCCACAUAUAUUGAUUAACUUCAAGUGUGCGCUUCUCAGUAAAGUGUAGAACUUCAGGUAAACCUCUAGGCCUCCUGCCUGCAUGUGUGACUGCGUGACUGUGUGGGCUGAACCCCCACAGAGAUUAACUGUUUCCCUCAUUAGAAAUACCCAGUCUGAAUUAUGCAAAAGAAAAUCUGAGCGAGAGAAGACAUGAAUAGGAAAGUAAAUAGUUGUAUGUAAGUAAUAUUAAUUCUAAUGACAGCACAAUGCAAUGACAGGCUGUCCCUCAAAAUUUUUCUGUGGGAGUGAUAAUUGUUGAAAUGUCUAAUAAUUCUUUAGUAUUGUGUUUGAUUCUUUGUGUAUGCCAUUUAAUUCCUCUUGUCACACAUAUGACUGCUUUAAGUGUAAAUAAUUCAAUUAACUAACCCCUCCUUUAUUAACUGAAUGCCAUAUCAUUUGAAAUUAUACUUGAGCGUGGUCUUUUUAAUUUAGCCUUUCUCAGCUUUUCUCUCUCUGUCCCCAACUCUCCCUAUUGUGUUUCCCUCUUUUUCUUUCUCACCCACAACAUAACACUGUCACCACAACAAUGACUCUGAGCUCUAGAGAACAGAGAACAGCGCUCCCCUUCCAAUAUGGCAAGGGUGAGUUGGUGAACAACAUCGAGCGGAGUGUACUGGAGGCUCAGGAGUAUGUGGGGCAGGCAUCGGAGAGCAUCCCAAAAUGCAAAAAGUUCAAAAAGACCAGUAGACGGG